AUUGAACGCUGGCGGCAGGCCUAACACAUGCAAGUCGAGCGGAUGAGAGGAGCUUGCUUCUCGAUUCAGCGGCGGACGGGUGAGUAAUGCCUAGGAAUCUGCCUGGUAGUGGGGGACAACGUUUCGAAAGGAACGCUAAUACCGCAUACGUCCUACGGGAGAAAGCAGGGGACCUUCGGGCCUUGCGCUAUCAGAUGAGCCUAGGUCGGAUUAGCUAGUUGGUGAGGUAAUGGCUCACCAAGGCGACGAUCCGUAACUGGUCUGAGAGGAUGAUCAGUCACACUGGAACUGAGACACGGUCCAGACUCCUACGGGAGGCAGCAGUGGGGAAUAUUGGAAAAUGGGCGAAAGCCUGAUCCAGCCAUGCCGCGUGUGUGAAGAAGGUCUUCGGAUUGUAAAGCACUUUAAGUUGUGAGGAAGGGUUGUAGAUUAAUACUCUGCAAUUUUGACGUUACCGACAGAAUAAGCACCGGCUAACUCUGUGCCAGCAGCCGCGGUAACAC
rnacentral:rRNA from 1 species